rnacentral:rRNA from 1 species
UACGGAGGGUGCGAGCGUUGUCCGGAAUCACUGGGCGUAAAGGGCGCGUAGGCGGCCUGAUAAGUAGGGGGUGAAAUCCUGCGGCUUAACCGCAGGGCUGCCUUCUAAACUGUCAGGCUCGAGCACAGUAGAGGCAGGUGGAAUUCCCGGUGUAGCGGUGGAAUGCGUAGAUAUCAGGAGGAACACCAAUAGCGAAGGCAGCUCGCUGGGACGUUACUGACACUGAGGCGCGAAAGCGUGGGGAGCGAACAGG